rnacentral:rRNA from 1 species
GGACCCCUACGGGGGGCAGCAGUGGGGGAUAUUGGACAAUGGGGGGAACCCUGAUCCAGCGACGCCGCGUGAGUGAAGAAGUAUUUCGGUAUGUAAAGCUCUGUCAGCAGGGAAGAAAGCAAUGACGGUACCUGACCAAGAAGCCACGGCUAACUACGUGCCAGCAGCCGCGGUAAUACGUAGGUGGCAAGCGUUGUCCGGAUUUACUGGGAGUAAAGGGCGUGCAGCCGGGAAGACAAGUCAGAUGUGAAAUCCCGCGGCUCAACCGCGGAACUGCAUUUGAAACUGUUUUUCUUGAGUACUAG